GCCUGGGCCUGCACAGUGAUCUGGGUUAACAUUGCUCUUGGGUGAACGAGGUGUUGUUAUCCAUUCGUCUCGGUGAUCGUCGACUAGGUAGUUUAACUGCUUUGAGGCUUUACGGCUCAGUUCGUCUUCCGUUUGAGUUUAUACAGUUUGUUUGCUGCUGAUAUAAACCGGGUUCGUCAAGUUCUCGCUAUUCGUCAGUGAUCAGGAAAUGGUUGUAGUUGCCGCCAACCUCUCCUUUCUGACAGGUUGAAGUUGCGAAGUUUUGAGAUUACGUUGUCUCAUUGUGUUAUGUUGAGGAACUGUUUCGCUGACUAAGUGAAAGGUGUUCGUUGAACUUGCGUUGUAAACUUCGACUUGUAUAAACUAAGCAAGAGUUUUCUGUACAUUGUAAAGAUAGAAUUAAAAGCAAUCCAUUACGAAGACCACAAUUCCUCGUAAGUUACUGAAAGGAAAUUAUGGACCUCCAUUACAAAGACCGUAGUUUAUUGCCAGUUAACUCAACUGUACUAUUCGAAUUCGGAUAUCCUGCUGUGAGGCCUGCGUCUGAUGGUUCUUUUAAGAUUUUACAAGAAUUCAUCUGGACACAUUUCAGUGGACGCAAUUUUGUUGGUUUUGGUAAACUGAGUUUAUUUCUGGCAGUUAUGAGUAAGGUUCGGUGGACAAAUUCGUGUCAGCCCGUGUAAACUGAACUGAAGUCUGGAGCUAAACAAGGAGUUUAGCAGAUUCUGCAGCUCAUUCCUGGAAGCUAUAUGUAUGACUAGUAGUUAGGACAGUUACCCUGCCUGAUCUUGUGGCUGUACAUUGUAAUAAUGAGUUUUUGUUAAAUAGAAAGUAAGCUUUGGAUUGUUUUCAGGAAGGUUACUUUAAAUUUCUUUCAAUUAUGCUUUCAAAUAAUACAUAUAUUUUGUUGUUUUAAAGUUCAGUAGUAUUUAAAUUAAAAUUGAACAAGUU